GAUGAAGAACGUAGCGAAAUGCGAUAAGUAAUGUGAAUUGCAGAAUCCAGUGAAUCAUCGAAUCUUUGAACGCACAUUGCGCCCGCCAGCCUUCUGGCGGGCAUGCCUGUUCGAGCGUCAUUUCAACCCUCGACCUCCCUUUGGGGAAGUCGGCGUUGGGGACCGGCAGCACACCGCCGGCCCUGAAAUGGAGUGGCGGCCCGUCCGCGGCGACCUCUGCGUAGUAAUCCAACUCGCACCGGAACCCCGACGCGGCCACGCCGUAAAACACCCAACUUCUGAACGUUGACCUCGAAUCAGGUAGGACUACCCGCUGAACUUAAGCAUAUCAAUAAGCGGAGGA
rnacentral:misc_RNA from 1 species